rnacentral:rRNA from 1 species
ACGAACGCUGGCGGCGUGCUUAACACAUGCAAGUCGAACGGAAAGGCCCUGCUUGCAGGGUGCUCGAGUGGCGAACGGGUGAGUAACACGUGGGUGAUCUGCCCCUUACUUUGGGAUAAGCCUGGGAAACUGGGUCUAAUACUGGAUAGGACCAUGCUGUAGGUGGUGUGGUGGAAAGAUUAGUUUCGGUAAGGGAUGAGCUCGCGGCCUAUCAGCUUGUUGGUGGGGUAAUGGCCUACCAAGGCGUCGACGGGUAGCCGGCCUGAGAGGGUGGACGGCCACAUUGGGACUGGGAUACGGCCCAGACUCCUACGGGAGGCAGCAGUGGGGAAUAUUGCACAAUGGGCGCAAGCCUGAUGCAGCGACGCCGCGUGGGGGAUGACGGCCUUCGGGUUGUAAACUCCUUUCAGCCAUGACGAAGCCCUUGUGGUGACGGUAGUGGUAGAAGAAGCACCGGCUAACUACGUG